GGCGUGCUGUGGUGGCGCAGCGGGUUAGCAUGACCCACGAUUGGAGCGCCGCAAAAACUCUUCGGAGAAAAAAAAAUGGACAGAAGACGACGGUGAGACAUCACAGAGGUACAUCUAGAAACAGACCCCUGCUUCCACUGAGAUUAGACCACCUAAUGGAGGCUAACAUAAUGUGACACUUUCCAGUCCCUGGUGUGACAAA